rnacentral:rRNA from 1 species
CGGUGGAGCAUGUGGUUCAAUUCGAUGCUACGCGAAGAACCUUACCUGGGUUUGACAUCUGGCGAAUUUUCUGGAAACAAAGUCCCGGCGCCAACAGGUGUGACGAGCGCAACCCCUAUCCGUAGUUGCCCCCGGGACGUCAAGUAUCAUGGCCUUUAUAUCCAGGCUACAUACAUGGCCGGUACAAGGGAUGCAAUAUCGCGAGAAGGAGCUUCCAAAAAAACCGGCCUCAGUUCGGAUCGCAGUGCAACUCGACUGCGUGAAGCUGGAAUCGCUAGUAAUCGGGAUCAGCAUGCCGCGGUGAAUACGUUCCCGGGCCUUGUACACACCGCCGUCACACCAUGGGAGUCGGUUGUACCGGAAGUGAGUGAGCCAACCCGCGAGGGAGGCAGCUUCCCAGGUACGACUGGUAACCGGGGUGAAGUCGUACAAGGU